AAAAAACUGUCACACAGCAAAGCUCCAAGACAGCAGAAUCCACAGUCCUAGGCAAAGGGCAGGUGUGCGUUUGAGGGGAAGUGACGGAGGGAAGAGACAGACAACUAUUCACCUGGCCCCCGGGGCCUGCAAAGAAGAAGGGGUCAAAAAACAGAAAGAGGUGAACCCACUGCUAUCUCCUGGACUCAGAGGCAAAUCUGGUUUGCCAUCCAUUACACAAACCAGCUCUUUUAUAACCCAACAGACAGGGAUAAUAGCUAUCUCUGGAGCUGAAUUAUAAGUGAAUACUAUAAAUCAAGAUGAAGUUCAUGCCAAGCCUGUAUUUUUUUUUUUUUAUCAGAAAAAAAUUAGCAAUGUUGGGUUCAAAGGAGCUGGGAGAAAACAAGACUGGAUGGGAAGAGACUUCCGUGGCCAAAUGCCUGUUCCACUAUGCAUAUGCUGAUGGUAUACUAGAUGCAAGAGUUUGUGGAACAGUCUUCGUUCAAGCUACAGUAUCCCAGGAGGCUUGCUUUGCCUCCAGGCUAAACUAAACAUCUGGCAGUUCCUGCAACAGGUCCACAUGACUGGAUAGUGCAUCAGAGAAUCGGCUUCCUGUGUCCAAGCAUUUCCUUUUCCUCUCCUGGUACUAAAUCCCAAAUACCUCUAUCAAUCCUUUGUUCAAUGGAUUUGAAGUACUUGGGAACUAUAUUCAGGGAAUUGACAGCAUGCUGCUUUAUGAUGGAUGUUGGCUCCAACUUCAUAUACAAGACCCAUAUCAUUGGGAGACCUUCAUAAGCCAUGGCAACCGUUCUCUUGCUUAACCUAACUCACCCAAGGCUCAGGUAGGCCUCUUCUCCCUUCCUCCCCAUCCACCUGAACAUGUCCUCCCCAUCAAAGGAGGAGGAAGGAGGACAAAGAAGACAUGGAAACAGUGUGAAUCCAGCCAGGAAUGUGUGUCUUGGCCCAGGGUGGGUAGAAACUUCCAGAAGUGGUAAUGCUACACACACAUUUUACUUCUGGCUUGAGGUCUCCUCAGAGACCCUUUUCACUGGGUGUGAGCCCAAAGUAGGAGGUGAGUUAAGUCCUUCCAAAGAGUUGCAUCCCAUGUUGUGUUCAGUUGGCAAACUUACCCCUUCCUUGUGCUUUCAACUGAAAACAGUCAAACUUACUUGUAGGCUAACUCUAAAUGGACUUUGGCCCCAGGUCAAUUCUGGCCCUACAAGCAAGCACCCACUUUUCAGAAUGCACAAAGAUGCAUCUUGGGCACAGCUCUGGCUUUGUGCUGAACACACCUUCUCCAGGGAGAGUCCUUGAGAAGUCCCUCAUUUGACCACAAAGUUUGACUGCCAGGAGCUUGAUUCAAACAAUCCUCGCUUUGGUUGGGCUCCUCUUGGUGAGGACUGAGUUAUAAAUGUCCAGUAGAGAGUUGGACCCUCACCGGCUCCCCAUGUUGGGCCUUUAUCUCUGCCACAUGGUGGCACUGUUUAGCACUGGUCAGGCCCUGGUCCACAGACUCUACCUGGUCUCCUUUCAUUAAAAAGAUAGGUUGGCACUCCCUGAGGGACAAAACCAGGGAGUACUCCACAACCACUGCCAGAGCAUAUCCAAGAUGCACCCCUGUGUGGCUGGGCCAGGAGCUGCUUUCUCCCUGCACCACACCCUGUACAGAGUAUCACCCAUUCUCACACCCUGUUCACUCUGGAGUUCCUUUCACAGAGCACAUCUUCACGUGUUGCUCUGUGUCUUAAUUUGAUCCACCCACGCCAAAAAGCCAAGGUGUAUCACUGGCAGCUAGAAGUGAGAUCUUUUCCCGUUAAAUCCCUAAUCCUGGGUCAGUAGGCUCACCUAGCAUUCAUGUAACUGGUUUGGCCUUCAGGUGACUUGAAGGCAGGUCAGACAGGUUCUGGAAUAUUCUCCACACGUCUUAAAUGAGUACUUCCAUCCUGCUGCUGCGUAACUAAGAGGAGAGACUUGUUUAAGGGAAGAGAAGAGAUUAGCUUCUCACAAUAUUCCAAAUGUGGAGCCAACUGUAUUUAUUCCUUCUGUAUGUGUUUGGGGCCAUGAUACCUGCUUGGAGAAUAUGGUCACCAUAUGGUGACCAUAUGGUGAUCUUCAGGUUAGCCCUGAUAUUUCACUAAGGGCUUAUCAAACCAAAUCUAACCAAACUUGUAUGAGUUUUUAUACCAUACCUCAUGGAGCACUCUAUUUUUAGAGUUGGAAAGGGUACUUUCCACUGGACUACUAUUCUAGAAAAAGAAAUAUUUGUCAACCUCUAACUCAUAAGUAGCACUUGUUAAGUGGUACAUAGGAUGCAUCUAGAAAACACUAACCUUCUUCCCGCCCUUGGGGCUGGGAUCAUGCAAAUUAUCUCAAUUGCCCCUGUUCAUCACUUCCUUAAAUGUUUGUAGGAUGCAGCUGGGAUGGUUAGAAGCCUAAAUACACCAAGCCAUACUGGCAUGUGUUCCCUUGUGGCAGACCCCAACCACAACCUCCAGAUUUCUUUUCUAGAUGUCCUUCUCACCAUACCUCUUAUGCCUGGCUUCUAGACACACUGUUGAGUAAGUCUUCAGCCAAAAGAAAAAAUAAUAAUCUGUUAAAGGUCACUUAUAAAAUUAUAAAUUUCUCAUGGCCAUAAAAACUAAUCUUUGUUGAUGAAUAAAGCUUAUUAUAUUAGACCUGGAUAGAAAGUAAUUUGGGGAGAGAAUAAAGGAGAGGUGCCGUCC
rnacentral:lncRNA from 1 species